CCGCGCCCCGCGCCGGGGUGUUCCCGGGCCGCCACUCACCCGCAGGGAGGACAGGUCGAUGUCCACCAGACUUUUGGCAGGGGAGUCGUUCGCCAUCUUCCCUUUCUGCCUCCGCGGAUCGGCCACGAUCAGCUGAACCGGUGACCUGGCUGUAGUUGGGGAUUCGCCGAGCAUCCCUCGGCCGACGGGUCCCGAGACUUUGGGCGGAAACUGAACCCGAACCGCUCCUUUCACUGCCCGUGCUGAGUCCCUCACUCUGGACGAGGCGUGGACCAGGAGUCUUGACCCAAGUUCUGUGCCUAGAUAUCGCUGAGGAGCCAUGGAUAGGACUUCUUCCGGCAACUUUGGAAGCCAGUCAGCAGUAGACAGUUUCAUCCUGUUGAACGUGAAUAAAUGGUCUGCAAACAGUCA